UCCUGGAAAGGCAGGAAGGCUCUCACCUGAGCUCUGCCUUCCCUGUAUGGCAGACAGAUGUACAAGAAGAGCAAAAGUGGAGGCAAACAAGCAGACAGCAACUGCUGGAGUCUGCAGCUCCAGUUUCAGGGAAUUUUAGAUAAAAACAGGUGGGCAACUACAGGAAGUCUGGAAACCAGUUUUGCUCCCUAGACAUCCAGUCCCAUCAUCACGCUCUGCAGCAGAAACAAAAAACCUGGUUUGCCACUAAAAAGUGUAUGUGACCCCAUUAAUGCUCUACUGCAAUGGUCAAACAUAGCUUGCAAGCAAAGUUAAGUUGACUCUUUUAGUGCAACAGACGGUUAAAAGUGUGAUUUCCCUCCAAUCCAAAAGAAUUCAGGCAGUCUCCUAUCUAUCUAUCUAUCUAUCUAUCUAUCUAUCUAUCUAUCAUUCCAUUUAUAUGUCACCUACUAACAAGGUCUCAAGGUGGAUUACAAUAAAAAGUAUAAACAUAUAUAACAAUAAAUAAACAAUAACAUGGUUCAUAAAUUUAAAACCUUACAAUAAUAACAGCAAGCAGUGAAAGGAAGGGCAGGAACAAUUGUGUAAAAAGGUAUUAAAAAGGACCAUUUUUGUUUGGUGCUGAAACAAUAAUAGAGACAGUGCCAGGCAGGCAUCCCUAGGGAGACUAUUCCAAAGGGAGGGAGCAGCCACCGAGAAGGCCCUUCAUCUAUUUGCCACCCCCUCACCUCUUUGAGAGAUGGCACUUGCAGAAGGAGCUCCUGGGCUGAUCUUGAGGGAUGGGCAGGUUCAUAUUGGAGGAGGCAGUCCUUCAGGUAACUGGGUCCUAAGCUGUUUAGGACUUUAUACGUCAUAACAAGCACCUUGAACUGGGUCCAGGCAGUCAUGAAUGUCUCAGUUAUAAAUAAUCCAUACUUAUGAACUGCCACAAAGCCUGUUAAUUUUUUAAAAAUUACUGGAGAAAAUUGCCAUCACUAUAGAGAGUGGAAACAAAAGGGGAAAGAGGCAAACAAUAGCAAGCUGGCUGUUUCUUGAAGUGUUGUCUGUAGUCAUUAAGCAAAGUUAGGUUUGUUUUCUUAAGAACUAGAUUCCAAUCUAGUAUCAUUUUUGGCAAGACCAAAUAUGCAAUGAUAGACUCACUUAUUAUCAUCAAGACAGCAAACUUCCUGCGAUGUUCUUUCAAGGAUGUACUUUAAAACCCCUGCUCAACUUUUGUACAUAAACCCUGCCUCAUGCAUUUA